rnacentral:rRNA from 1 species
ACUCCUACGGGAGGCAGCAGUGGGGAAUUUUCCGCAAUGGGCGCAAGCCUGACGGAGCAAGACCGCGUGAGGGAGGAAGGCUCUUGGGUUGUAAACCUCUUUUAUCAGGGAAGAAGAUCUGACGGUACCUGAUGAAUCAGCAUCGGCUAACUCCGUGCCAGCAGCCGCGGUAAUACGGAGGAUGCAAGCGUUAUCCGGAUUUAUUGGGCGUAAAGCGUCCGCAGGUGGUUUUUCAAGUCUGCUGUUAAAGCGCAGAGCUUAACUCUGUAACGGCGGUGGAAACUGAGAGACUAGAGUAUGGUAGGGGUUGCGGGAAUUCCCAGUGUAGCGGUGAAAUGCGUAGAUAUUGGGAAGAACACCAGCGGCGAAAGCGCGCAACUGGGCC